GAUGAACGCUGGCGGCGUGCCUAAUACAUGCAAGUCGAGCGAACAGACGAGGAGCUUUCUCCUCUGACGUUAGCGGCGGACGGGUGAGUAACACGUGUAUAACCUACCUAUAAGACUGGGAUAACUUCGGGAAACCAGAUCUAAUACCGGAUAAUAUAUUGAACCGCAUUGUUCAAUAGUUAAAGACGCUUUUGCUGUCACUUAUAGAUGGAUCCGCGCCGGAUUAGUUAGUUGGUAAGGUAACGGCUUACCAAGGCUACGAUGCGUAGCCGACCUGAGAGGGUGAUCGGCCACACUGGAAAUGAGACACGGUCAAGCCUCCUACGGGAGGCAGCAGUAGGGAAUCGUCCGCAAUGGGAGAAAGCAUGACGGAGCAACGCCGCGUGAGUGAUGAAGGUCUUCGGAUCGUAAAACUCUGUUAUUAGGGAAGAACAAAUGUGUAAGCCACUAUGAAAGUGUUGAUGCUAGCUAAACAGAAAGCGGCGGACAACGUC
rnacentral:rRNA from 1 species